rnacentral:rRNA from 1 species
AUUGAACGCUGGCGGCAUGCCUUACACAUGCAAGUCGAACGGCAGCACGGGUGCUUGCCCCUGGUGGCGAGUGGCGAAGGGGUGAGUAAUACAUCGGGACAAGUCCUGUAGAGGGGGAGAGCAAGGCGAAAGAAGGAGUAAUACCGCAUACGAACAAAGGAAGAAAGAGGGGGAAAUAGGGGAAGCGGGCUAUGGGGUUGGCCGAUGGCUGAUUAGCUAGUUGGUGGGGUAAAGGCAUACCAAGGCGACGAUCAGUAGCUGGUCUGAGAGGAAGACCAGCCACACUGGAACUGAGACACGGCCCAGACUCCUACGGGAGGCAGCAGUGGGGAAUUUUGGACAAUGGGCGAAAGCCUGAUCCAGCAAUGCCGCGUGUGUGAUGAAGGCCUUCGGGUUGUAAAGCACUUUUGUCCGGAAAGAAAUCCUUGGCCCUAAUACGGUCGCGUGAUGACGGUACCGGAAGAAUAAGCACCGGCUAACUACGUG